rnacentral:rRNA from 1 species
AUGGGAGAAAUCCUGAAGCAGCAACGCCGCGUGGAGGAUGAAGGGUCUAUGACUUGUAAACUCCUUUAAAGAAGGAAAAAAUUCCCAUUUGAUGGGAGAUGAUGGUACUUCUGGAGUAAGCCCCGGCUAACUACGUGCCAGCAGCCGCGGGAAUACGUAGGGGGCAAGCGUUGUCCGGAUUUACUGGGGGUAAAGGGUGCUCAGGCGGAUUUGUAAGUCAGAGGUGAAAUCUUACAGCUUAACUGUGAAACUGCCUUUGAUACUGCAAGCCUAGAGUAUGGAAGAGAGUGAUGGAAUAUCUGGUGUAGCAGUGAAAUGCGUAGAUAUCAGAUAGAACACCAAUGGCGAAGGCAGUCACUUGGUCCAUUACUGACGCUAAAGCACGAAAGCGUGGGUAGCAAACA